UACGUAGGGGGCUAGCGUUGUCCGGAUUUAUUGGGCGUAAAGAGCGUGUAGGCGGCCAGGUAGGUCUGCUGUGAAAACUCGAGGCUCAACCUCGAGACGUCGGCGGAAACCAUCUGGCUAGAGUCCGGAAGAGGAGAGUGGAAUUCCUGGUGUAGCGGUGAAAUGCGCAGAUAUCAGGAAGAACACCCGUGGCGAUGGCGGCUCUCUGGGACGGUACUGACGCUGAGACGCGAAAGCGUGGGGAGCGAACAGG
rnacentral:rRNA from 1 species